CUGUGUAGCAUUGAAAUAGUCAUUAACUAAAAUUAAGAAAUAAGAUGCACAAGAAUGAGAUUUAACACUAUAAGGACCCAAAGAUCAAUAUGGAUUAAUUCAAAAAGAGCAACAGAUGAAGUUGAACCUAAAGGAAAAGACCACCUUGUUUGUUUAGCAAUACGAUAUAUCUGAUAUAAACAUUGAUUUGGAAAUGAAAUAUCAAAAAUAGUUUUGGAUAAAUAAAGUAGUUGAGAUGA
rnacentral:lncRNA from 1 species